rnacentral:lncRNA from 1 species
AUGUCCGGGGUAAUAAAAAUCUUGCACUUGGGAAGGGGCAGUUGUCAGCCACACAAAAGCCGUCUGUUAUGUUUUACAAAUGAAACCAGAGCAGCAGGCAGAGUUCUGAUUACUUCAUCAAUUUUUUUCACACUAGCCUGGAAUUUCAUGUGCAUGCCUACAGCAACUGGAUUCUAUCAGCAACUCACACUAUCAGGAAGAGGGCUUCAUCAGAUGAGAGCAGACCUCCUGCUCACUGCCUCUAAGUUUGAAACCAGCUCUAAAGGGGAGAUAACAAAAAACAGCAAAAUCAGAGGAGCAGAGGUGUCUGGCAAGAACCUUAGGAAGCCUACUGGAAAGAAGGUUCUCAGUGGAUCUGGUUCCAUCACCACUACGUUUCAACCAGAUGCUGUCAUUCAGCAUUUCAAAGAGAAUCAGAAAGGUAACCUGAUGAAGACCUUAAAGAUAUAAAGGCCAACCAUGGAGGCAGGGGGUACUUAAAAACAGAUGCGAUGGAGUGAAUCCAGGUUUGCCCGUGAAACUUUGUUUUUUACAUGAGAAGAACGACAGCUUCAGUAUAUAAUAAAUCGCGAAUUUUUUAAGAGAACAAAAAGAGGUCUUUAAGCCGACCGAGAAAGAACGCAGCCAAAAGGAUCAAGCUGACCAUCGCAGGGCUAACUUACGAAGACCUCGCUGUUCGGUUCCACAUGAAAGACGCUCAAAAGGCAGGGCAACGGACGACAACACAGAGCCCUGGCACAGACUGGAGGCGCACCGACAGAGCAGACAGAGCUACGGGUGCAGCACCGCCGCACCGCUCUCCUCACGGCGCGGC